rnacentral:tRNA from 1 species
UAGGAACUUAGGCUAGUAGACCAAAGACCUUCAAAGUCCUAAGCGAAGGUUAAACCCCUUCAGCUUCUG